UACAUUAGUUGAAUGUGGCAUUUAAUAUGUAUUUUAUUGAUAUUUUAACAUCUGCACGUUAAAGUAGGUACGUGGAAAUAUCCGUUUUACGGAACCGAAUUUUGUGCUAAAAAACUGUGCCACGCUUUUUAGAAUUUUUUUUAACUAGCGUUGGGAAGACGUGUUUAGUUGAAAAACUUUUUAGAAUUUGAUAUCAAUAUAGACUAUUUUUAGAAACUAGAAUAGUUAAUCUUUAUUACUGUGAGCUUCAUUAUUUUACUGGAUGGCUUUUUUAUUGAGUUUUUUGAUGUCUAAAACUUAGUUGUACUUUGGGCAUGAAAUUAAUGUCGAAGAUAUGCUCUUUUUUUUUCUAUACUAUUCUUUUUUUUAAGUUUUUCAUUUAUCUAUGCACCUGGAAAAUUUCAUUGAAAAAGAAGUUGUAGCAGGGUGUCUAUUUUUUGUCGCACUUUUCCUACCUAAUUUUCAAUUUUGCUGAAGUGGUCGCGGGAGACAGAGGGGUUAAAUAAACAUUGUUUACAUUUGAUUUUGAUUAAAUAAAACUUUCAGUUUUUUUUUAGAUUAAAUAAAAUGGAAAACAAAGAUGUUGAUAAAGCAACACUUACUUCAUUAAUUGUAUCAUCUAUAGCUGCUCUAUCUAUACCACCAUUAUCUGUUUCAGCUGUUCCACCUUCCACUGAUCUAACUGUGCCAUCAUCAUCUACUCCAACUGUGCCAUCAUCAUCUACUCCAACUGUGCCAUCAUCAUCUGCUCUAACUGUGCCAUCAUCAUCUACUCCAACUGUGCCAUCAUCAUCUACUCCAACUGUGGCAUCUUCAUCUGUUCCAACUGUUCUUACAUAUGAAGACUAUUGCCAGUAUAGAGCUCACCACCCAGGACCACUGUCGCACGCUUCUUUUUUCCGUUGGUUGCGUUAUGGGGGGGAAGACAGGCAAUCUUUUGAAUGGUCUUGUCGCCCCCCAUACUUGGGUGGUGGGACCCAUCAACGUAGAGGAGGUAGAAGAGGAGGCAGAAGAGGAGGCAGAAGAGGAGGCAGAAAAGGUGGGCUAGCCAAUGUUAAACUAAAUUGUUAAUGAUUUCAUUGGUUUUAAAACCUCCACUUCAACCAUUUAUUUGUUAUCAAAGGUGAAAUGGCUCCAAAAAAAAAGCUAUUGAUAUUUCGUGGAGCAGCCAACAAAUAUUUGACUGCUAACUUUAAAUUACCUUAUGAUGCAAAUAUUCAAUGUAGAAAUGGACACAUACUUUUUAUUUCAUUAACAAUGGUGAGUUAUAUAUCAAAACUGUCAAACAAGUCAAUGAGUUAUUUAGCAUUAACACUUACACAAAUCAUAUCCAAAAUGUAGUUAAUGUAGCAAAAAAAUGGACAAGUAACUAUAAAAGAGACAGUAAAUAUUUUGAGGAUUUUUGCAAUGAACUCUUUUCAUCUUAUAUACCUAACUUGACAAUUUCACAUUUAUCCCAGCUUUGCUCUAGUGUUUUCCCUUGUGUUUUAUCACCUGGAGAACACAACCGGUUUUUGUCUGUUAAAGAUAGUGAAGUGUUAUCUUCAGCAAGUUGCAGUAAUAAUUAAAAGUUAUUUGCACUUCAAGACAAGAAAUGACAAAUAGAGAAAAAAAAUUAAAGAGUAGAGCAUCAUAUUUAGCUACUCAGUUAGCUAAUUCUUCUAGAAAAUAUCGAAGCAAUAUAACAUUAGUUAAAUCAAAAUUAAUUAGCAUGCCAUAUAAACUAAAGGUUUUAAGGCAAAGUGUUAAAAGAAAAGAAGACAUCAUAAAAGAUUUAAGGACGACAUUGACAAAAUUAAAAAAAAGAAUGCAAACAUAUUAUUAUAGACGACAAAUUCGUAAUCAUAUAGCAACAAUAAAAACUUUAAAAAGUAGUGAAAAACAAAAGUUGCAGCAACUGAAGGUCAAACAUAACACAGAUACAAGGGGAAUUAAAAAGGUGAUUGUUAGUUUGGAAAAUGAUUUGCUUGAGAGGGAUGAGAAUGAAGCUACACUUUUAAACUUUACUAAAAAAGAAAAAAAAUAUUCAUUACAGAUGAGAAUGAUAAUUUAUAACAUGUUAUUGUGUAAUGUCCCAACAGGUAGCAUUCCAUUAUUGAUUCAGAAAAUUGGGCAAAUUAUGGGUUUUGUUUUUACUAAUACUCCCCAUCGUAAUACUGUUGAACAAAUGGCCCGUGAGCUUGGUAGUAUAUCAAGUUUGCAAGCAGCUGAAUGGGCUAUCACAAAUAGUCAACUUACUAUUGGUUUUGAUGCAACAACACAAGAAGGUGUCCAUAUUAACAGUAUUCACUUAACUUCUAAAGAUAAAUGUCUAGUCGUUGCUCUAGACCAAUUACCUGGUGGAACUGCUGAGGACUAUGAAAACCAUAUAUGUAAUGCCAUUGAUCAUAUGGCUUUUAUUUAUUCAGAUUUUCACUUGUGUAACUAUAAUGAAUUUCGUAAUUCAAUUAUUAAAAACAUUUCAAACACAAUGUCUGACAAAGUUGCUGUUAAUCAUCUCACCAUCAGCAAAGUAUGUGCUACAUGGGGAAAAAAUCUUAAUGAAAUGAACUGCCAUUUGCACCCUCUUGAUACCAUUGCCACAUCAUGUCGUUCAGCGUUGAAGUCCCUUUAGAAUGAGAGUUGUAAAUUGUAUGGAAAUGACUGUAUGGCAACUUUGAUAGUUUUGGCUAUGAAUAAAAUGAGAUAUAAAGACGUCAAAGGUGAUCCGCAAGGUUUUGUAAGUUUUUUAGAUAAUAACAAAUUACCACGUGGUAUCAUUCCAAGAUAUCGUGGAAACCGACUACACAUUCUUUUCAAUACUUGUUUUAUUUUGAUGCGGCAUUAUAGUGACUUUAAACAUUAUCUCACAAUUGGAACAGUAAAAUGUAAAAGUUUACAGGCUACUCUUCGAGGUGCUUUUUGUAAUACAACCGCCAUUAAACAAAUGUGUGUGCUUGCGGUAUUUGGAAAAGUUCUUACUGGACCCUGGAUGACAUUGUUUUAUGUAACAACAGAUAAGGCCGUGCGGUUAACCGAACCGAACCGUUCUUUCGGUGAAAACCGAAACAAAAAAACCGAAUCGAACCGAACCGAUCUAAUUAUUUAAAUCAAAAUAAAAACCGAACCGUAACUGAAAAAACUUUUAAAAACCGAUUUAAAAUUUUAAAAUUUCAAAAACAUUAUUUGACAUCAAAUUUUUAAAUAAAAUAUAAUUGUUAUUUAAUUUAAGAAGUUUCAAACCGCAGAAAAGCAAAGUUAAAAAGGGAACAAAGAAAAAUAAACAUAAUAAAAUAGCUUGCCGUGAAAUUAGAACAAAUGUUGCGGACCAUGAUGGAGUAUAAUUUUUUAAGGGUUGGAUAUCAAUAUCGUGUAGUAUAAGCUUUUUCUAAAAAGAUGUAUUUUUUUAAUCUUAUUUAAAUUUCUAAUAUUGUUUAUAAUAUUUA
rnacentral:misc_RNA from 1 species